CAGCUUAAUUUUUAUUGUAAAGGUAAUAUUUGUUAACUCAACAAAUAUUUAUUAAACAUCUUCUUUGUGCCAGGCACAAUUCUUAGCUCAUGUAGCUCCCAUUCUAGUGGAGAAGAUAUCUACACGAGUAGAUAAUAUCAUUUCAGGUAGAGCUAAGUGCCAUGAAGAAGCGUAAAGUAGGAUACUGGAAUGCAGGCUGAUGGAGGAGUGUACGCACUGUUUAAGAUGGAGUGGUCUGGUUUGGAGGGCCCUCUUUAGGGAGGGGACAUCUGAGGCCUGAAUCAUGUGAAGGAGCUCAGCCAAAGCAACAGCAUUCCUGAAGGAGAGAAAAGUGAGUACAAAAUUCCUGAAGCAGGCAUGAUCUUGGCCUGACUGAGGAAGUGCCAGAAAGAUAGUGUUCUGGAGUGAGCAGAAAGGAGAGACUGUAGGAGAUGAGGCUGAGGAGAGGGAGUGGCCAGAGCACUGGAGCCUUGUCUGUAUGGUGAGGAGUUUAGAUUUUAGUCUGUGUGGGAAGGCUACUGGGAUUUCAAGCAGACAAGUGCCAAGGUUUGGUUAUGUUCUAAGAAGCUUUUAAGAUGCACAUACCCAUUGUCUAAUCUAGAAAUUUAUCUUCUAGAUACUGUGCUCCAUGGAUGCAAAAUGGAUAUAUGAGGAUGUUGGCCUAGAAUAUUUUGUGAGUGGGCAUUUCCAUGUGCCCCAGGCACACCUUGAUGAGAUGAUGUCUCCCUUGCUCAAGCAGCCCCGCCCUUGGUGAGAGUUUGGGAGACCUGCUGUGGUCUGUGCCCUCCUGCCAGUGGCAGUACCUCCCCAUGGCUUCGCUGUGUGUCCUCAACUCUGUAAACGGAGUGAGCCGCUCUCAGAACUGGUCCCCUCUCUCCCUUAACACAGCCCACACUGAGUGUUAGCAUAUAUUUAAAAAAACUCUUGGCUGAACAUACAGGUAAAAUUACAUUCUUUUUAAUCCUCUUAGUAGGUUACGAACAUUUUUCAGGUCUCUGUAUAGUCUUUUUACUUAAAUAAAUCUUCAGGAGUAAGGUUACAUUAGGUUAGGUGUUACAGUUUUUAAAUGGUUUGCUUAUGCAGAGUGUGUAAAAUGGUGUUACCAGUUUGCUUUAGAAUUCAUUUCUUUUAUUACCAUAGAAAAUGAAUCAUACGUUUCAGAAAGAUUUUUAGUGACCCUGGGUGAAAAACCUAUUGCUCAAAGCUUGGGUUAUUCUAGAUUUUACCAUAGUAAUAAGUAGAAAGCAAAAUAUAUUAGAACUUUUUUUUUUCUUAGUAGUUUUAUUCUAGGAUAUGGUCAGUUCCAAGUAGUCCACAUUCAUGUUAAUAGCUGAGGCAGGUGCAAAUAUUUAGAGACUAUAAAUGCAGAAUACCCAAGGGAUUCUAGCUGCGUCGGUGGAUGACAUGGCCAUAGGUUUCUGUUGCUGAUAGCUGCUGUGCUUCCCUGGGGUGGGUCGCCCCGAGCCGCAGCGUGUUGAGAGUUGGUGGUCAGUGUGACCGGCAUGGUGAGACUCCUUGAGGGGUCAGAGCAUAGCAGUGCCAGGACGUGAGGCCGGAAGUUUCCAUACUUGGAGUGCUUGGACUCACACAGGGUGGGGUGAGCAUUUGUAAGGGCGUUUUGCCUUUUUUCUGUUCAUGUAGACUUAAGGAGGGAGAGGCCUCUAAGUGAUAGACAAACUGACUCUUAGGUGUUUGGCAACUGCAGGGGCGACUGUGUUGAAAGAAGAGAAUGUCAGUUAGAAAUGCGGGUGUGAGUGUCCCGUAAAGGUAAAUUUUGUUAGGCGUUGUCGUGUGUGUGGACAAGUCGGUAGCUUACAAAAUGAGGCACAGUUUGAAGCUGUGGAAGUAGGUCCAGGAGGUGAGCCUUUGGAACCCAGGAAACAGCUUCUCCAGAAGCCAGCAGGUGGAGCCCUCCAGGGCUGGCUGGGCAGCACAACCCCCUGGGAGGGCUGUCCCCGUUCUCCCACCCUUGUUCAGUAUGGAAAGAAGCUUAGUAUCAGGAAUAGGUAAGCAGUGGCAGUGGGACACCUGACCUGGUUUGGUAUCUUUUGAGCGAACGGAGAAUUCCAGGUGGAGGAUCCAAAGGGUUUCCAGUUGACUCUGGGGAAAGGAACUGAGCUUUGUGAGAAAGAACUGUGAUUCCCUGCAUUCCUGGAGGAAUGCCUUGUCUCUUGUCUCUUCUUCCUCCAGCGGACCCGCACUCAAAGCAUUUGAUUUUGUUAGAACGAAUCAUAUGAACUGGCAGACACUCAGCCAGUUUGACCUACGGAAAAUGGCCCUUUUCAGUCUAAUGGUGUGUCACAGGUACGGCUUGCAGGCAGGAUCCAAGCUUCACGUCUUUGACAUCUCGUUCAUCACAUUUGCUUGCUGUGACUGCUGCCAUCAAGAGAAUGGGGAGUGGGGAGGGCCACUCCCCUCUGAAUGGCCUGGGCCGUGAGAGUGGUGGUGCCAGGGAACCCCAUUUCGUGCAUCCAGCGGCACUAAGCACCAUAUGUGAGUUUGGGGUUUGUAAAAUGUUCCCCUUCCUGUGCCCCCGAGCUCCUGCCUGCUGGCUCCUGCCAUAGAGCACUUGAAAAUUACUGUUGCUGAACUUACUUUAUAAAAAUGUUUUAUUGAGGAAUUUGAUAAUAGGCUCAUGGUUAACAUUUUGAAACACUUAGUGAAGUCAGAAGCUUGAUGAUACCAGAACAAAGACAACUGUUAAUGAAAAUCUUAACAGUUCUCAGUGGGACAGGACUCUUACCAGUUCUCAUUGUGAACAAAUUAAUUCAGGUUGCGUUGCUCAUUAUCAUAAGCCAGAACCUGGUGCACAUCAAAGUUCUGAGUCAGCACUGCAAUAAUAUAAAUGUCACAUCUGACGACUCUUGAAGGUGGAUACUUGUUCUGCCUGUUGAGGGUAGGGAAACACUCCCAGGAGGAUGUACCUGAGACUGAGGCAUCAUGUAGGUUAGAGAGUGUCCUUUGCUUUUAACACAGAGGGUAAUAUGUUUGUGUCUGGGAGCCAGGUAGAGUGAAAACCUACCUGCUUACCUAACCACAUAGUAGCUUGUGCUUAACUUGUGCCCACUGAGAGGCUUUGUAGCCACAGCUGACUAGAAACCUGAGGAAGUGUCCUUCAUUACCACUGGAAUGGAGAGGAGAGACACAUUUCAGCAAACUUUACCUAACAUUUGAGGAGCUAAUUAAAAUAUCGGUGUGGUAUUUCCAUGUUAGUGUUCGCUUUGGAGUUUUUCCUGGGUUUCCAGGGAGCCAGGGGCAGGAUGAUGCUGAUGUUGUCAGGCGAUGGCUGGGACACCAGGGUCGGUGCCCUUCAGGGUAGGGAGAUUCGAGCCUAAGAUGGUAUCAUUUGGAGUCUUGCUUCUGCUGUUUAUCUCAUAAACUAAGUUUAGACCUGAUGUGUAUUUGUAAAAACACAUGUAAUAGACGAGGGGAAAUGUAAAACAGGUGUCAAAAAUGCAAAUGUGACACCACAGUGCAGUGUGAAAAUGCCGUGCCCACUACACCGCCUUUUAAUAAAAAUGGACUUUUAACUGCAUCGCUUUUCUUCGUCGUAUAGUAAAUCUUCUGUUUACAGAACUUAGCCUGAGUAUUUUGUGAAAGUCAAACAGCCAAGAAAUAUAAUUUCCUCAGCAGUCUUUGUCUUGCCCUUUUACAGAUGGCGUAAAAUCAGGUGUGUAAAAAAUAAAAAGCAGUUAGAGCUGACGUGAAAGGUAUUUCAGAUUUAUGCUUUGCAGAUGAUAUUGGUAUGAUUAAUGCAUUCAUUGCUUUUUUUUAUUGCUUUUCACAGAUAAUGUACAUGAUGCAUGGAAAAGGUUGUGGGUUUAAAUCUUUGCCAGCUUUAGACUGUGAAUAUCAACAGAUGUUAUCAUAUAACUACUAUAAUUAUUAUAAAAUAAAAAAUUUUUCAUGAAAUA